GAGUCAUUCAUUUGGGCUGGAACGUAAGUUGAAAGGGAGUCAGGGCAGUGAGAGUUGGAGCAGUAAAGGAAAAGUAAUAAAAAUUGCUAACAUUAACUUCCCAGGAUGAGAUCAGGAAUAUGUAUUGUCUGCUUUAAUCCUUAUUACAAUCCCUUAAGAGAGAGUAAUUUAUCAGUCCAUUUUAUCAAAGAGUAAACUGAGGGAUCAGAAGGGUGGGUUUACUUGUCCAAGUGGCAGAGCUGGGCUUGAACCCAGAUUUGCUGAUUAUAAGACCUGUGCCUAGCGGCAGUAGGCUGGACUCUUGGGUUUGGGAGAUAGUAUCGGGAGAGUCUUGAGCAGGUGAAUGGGUUAAUAUGACCCAGGGAGCUCAUAUUAGGCUGGGUAGCCCUGCAGCUGUGUGUUUUGAGGAGGCUAAGGUUAAGAGGAGGAAGACUGGUCAGGAGAUCUGGCAGUUGUCUGGCAAGGUUGUAAUGAGAGCUUGAUCCAGGGUGGGGGCUGUGAGAAUGGACAGGAAGGAGUCAGUAUAAGAACUGCUGCCAGUUGACACACAUUUGAGUUUGGCUCUUUGUGGAGCACCUGUGAAUUUGGUGAAAGAAACAUGCUCUUGUUCUCCUAGAGUUAAGUUCAAGUUGAAGGGAGACAGGCAGUAAAGAAGUCAGUGAAUAAGUAUAUAAUGCAUUCUCUGGUGAUGAAUUCUACACAAAAGGGCAAAGCAGCCAAGUUCAAGUUCAUAUACAUUAAUUAGGAGUAGGGGUGCUCCCAGAGUGGGUCUCCCCUCCCCGAGCAGAGACCUGAAAAUGCCCGAAGGAGGAAGUCCCACAGACAUCUACAGGAAGUGUGAUCCAGGCAGGAGAAUAGCCAGUGCAAAGGCCGUGGGGUAGAAACAUGCCUGGACUGUUUAGUGACAAUGGGGAGUCCAGUAUGGCUGCAGUGGAGUGAGCCAUGGGGAGUAGGAGGUGGGAUUAGAGAGUUAAUGGGGCCAGAUUGUUUGCAGCCAUGCAGGCUAUAGAAGGUCUUUGGGUUUUAUUCUGAGAGAAGUGGGAGCACUGGGAGGAUUUUGAACAGAGGAGGGACAUUAAUUGACACCUUUUUAAUAGAAUGUCUCUGGCCACCAUGUAGAGACUAGACUGUAGGGGGUUGGGGAUAGGGGUGGGGGAUGGACCCGGUAGAGACUGUUACAAAAGGUGAAAAGUGAGACUGCCCAUCACUAGGUCCUGACAGUGUUUCAGAGCUCGGACAAGGGAUAGGAGCUGUUUGGAGUUGGGAAGCUUGGCACACAAUGGCAAUGAGAUAGAACAAAGACCACAGGAAGUCAGACAGGUUUGGCUCAGUGGAGUAAAGUAGUUCAACAACUGGACUUCUGGCAUGUGGGAUCUUAGCUUCCUUACCAGGGAUUGAACCCACAACCCCUACACUGGAAGGUGAAGUCUUAACCACUGGACCACCAGGGAAGUCCCCUCAGGGAACAGCUUUAUUUGAAUGACAAUGUCGGUGCAGUUUUGAACUUCUUGCGAUUCUGGCACUGUCCCAGACACUCAGCCAAGAUUGACUUUGAUGAUCUGGAGGGCUGGAAGCUGUGCAGAGAAGUGGUUCUCAGCCAGGGCAGCCUGUCAGAACCACCUGGAGAGCUUUUUCAACAACAGAUGCCUGGCUCCGCCCCCAGACCUCCUGAAUCAGAAACUCCGCAGGUGGCAUCAAGGCAGCUGUGGUCAGAAGAGCCCUCCAGUUGAUUCCUGGGCACAGCUGGUGUAGACAGCGCAUCUGAAUGAGUCAGGCCCAAGCAGAUGCCUUUCUCCCUUGGGUUUUCUGAGGGCAUCUCUGCAUUUUCCAGGUCACUGUCCAAGCUUUGUUUCUACCAUGAUCAUCUGGACACUCGGGUCUUAAAAAAAAAAAAAAAAAACCUCACUAUUUUUUAAAUGAUGAACCAUGGGACUUUCUAGUUUUGUGGUUCUAACUGGAGCAUCCAGGUCAGGAGCCUAGGAGACUGGACUCUCUUGCUCUUCUCUGACCAGGGAUUUUCCAGUCUCGAACCUAGAGAGACCCUAAGAAACUGCUCCAGGAAUGUCAUUUUCAGUGAUUUUCAAUAGGCAAAUUAUGUUACCUUUUGGAAAUGUGGCCUUUUUUUCAUUCUCUUCUCAGUUUAGAGAAAAUGAAAAUUUCAGAGCUGGACCACAUUGCAGCAGUUCAAUGUAAAGCAAGCAGAUAUUGAAUGAGUAUCUGCUGAGUAUCUGGAGGGGUGGUCAGCGCUGUGGCUGCAGAGGCGAAGGACACCUGCCCUCAGGAGCUCGCAGUGCAGCAGGAGAAUGGAGUCUUUCCCAGCGUCCUCACCUUACAGUUGGAAAAACUGAGGCUCAGCUCAAGGGACUUACCCAAGGCCCAGCAGUUAGCAGGUAGUGGAGUCAGGAUAUGAACUCAAGUCUGCCCAAUGCCAAGUCUCAUGCUUGCCUGAGUGUGACCUUCCUGAGGGCAAGAACUAACCAUUGUUUUGUUCCCCAGAUUGUGCUGUGGGUGAUGGGGUGCUGAUGAGAACCCUCAGUCCUAUUGUUGUUGAGUCACUUAUUCGUGUCUGACUCUCUGCAGCCCCAUGGACUGCAGCCUACCAGCUGUCAGAGCUUGCUCAAACUCAUGUCCAUUGAGUCGGUGAUGCCAUC